UAGUAGUGUAAGUUUCCGUGUCCUACUUUAAUCGUCCGUCUUAUUUAAUUUUUUUUAUUAGUAGUAUUUUUAUUAGUAUGAAAUGAUAAAACAUGAAUAGCACUUUAUACAUGACUUAUGUUUUAAUUUUUUUUUCAAAAUUUUUUCAAAUAAGACGGACGGUCUAAGUUGUGCACAGAAAAUCGUGGCUGCAUUUAAA
rfam:Oryza glumipatula chromosome 12, whole genome shotgun sequence.